rnacentral:rRNA from 1 species
UCGAGAAUUUUUCACAAUGGGCGAAAGCCUGAUGGAGCGACGCCGCGUGGGGGAUGAAUGGCUUCGGCCCGUAAACCCCUGUCAUUCGCGAGCAAACGUUAUUAUUUAAAAGAUGAUAGCCUGAUAGUAGCGAAAGAGGAAGGGACGGCUAACUCUGUGCCAGCAGCCGCGGUAAUACAGAGGUCCCAAGCGUUGUUCGGAUUUACUGGGCGUAAGGGGUGCGUAGGUGGUGGGGUAAGUCGGAUGUGAAGUCUCCGAGCUAAACUC